rnacentral:lncRNA from 1 species
UGAAGGGACCACCUGGCCAGGGUGCUUCCAGAACAAGCAGCUGCUUCAAGCCAGUGCCCAGCUCUUCCUGCCCCUGGAGCCACUGGAGGGGCCUUCG